GCUAGGCGCCGUGGUGCACACCUGUAAUCCCAGCAGUUUGGGAGGCUGAGACAGGAGGAUCACAAGUUCAAAGCCAGCAUCAGCAAUGGUGAGGCACUAAGCAACUCAGUGAGACCCUGUCUCUA
rnacentral:sRNA from 1 species